UUGACGACAGAAGAAGAACCACCCAUAAGCACCAACUAAUCAAAACGAGAAAUCGAAUUGACACACCAAUUCUCCCAACUACAUUCCUUUUUGAACUUAUUUAAGGACACAAGUCAUUCCCACAAAAAAAACUUGAUCAUUCCUAACAUAUCAAAAAUGCUUAAAAUUCCUCUUAAACAAAAUGGUAUAUCUACAAAUCUAAAUGAC
rnacentral:lncRNA from 1 species